UGUGAAUGUAAAGAUAGUGUGAAUGUUAAGAACACUAACCAGUUAAGCAAAACAAAUUGAUUCAACUUUUACUUGAACAAAGUAGUAAGAUAGCGAAGAAGAACACUUGAAUAAUUACCGGAUUCUCAAUGUAUUGUUAGAGUAGCAAGAGAGAAGAGAGAGUGAUGAGAGAAUUUGUGAUUGAGAGUGAAUGAGUGUAUGAGUUGAUGAGAGAACUUGUUAUGAAAGAUGAGUGUCUGUGAAUGAAUUGAGUACGAGGGAGUCCUAUUUAUAUAGCAAAAGGAGAAAAAAAAUAUAAAAAAAAUAAGGUAAAUAAAUAUUUUUUAGGAAUCAAGUAAGUAUACUAUUUUCCUUAUUCAAAAGGAGAUUCAAAUCAGCAAAAAUGUAAAAUAUAUCAUUUCCAAAUAUUACAAGUAAGAGUAAUUAGAAAGAUCAAUAUUAUUUGUCCUUAAAUAAAGAAGAAUCAAAAUCAGAUUAUAUUAUUUAUUCAUUUUUUCCAAAUAUAUAAAAAACUAAAUAUGACAAGAAAACAAUUAAAGUUUCAAUGAAUACUAUUUUUCCUUAAAUAAGAGCAUGAAAUCAGGUUUAUAUAAGAAUUAACAAAUUUAAUCAAGUAAGAAAUGAAAUUAGGAAGGGUAAUAUUUUCCUUAAAUAAUGAAGAACCAAAUUAAAUUUUUUUUACUAAAUAAACAAAUAAGUAAUCAAUCCUAUUUUUAAAUAAGGUAAACAAAUAAACUCAAUAAUACAACCAAGUAAAACAAGCAUGGAAAGGAUUAUUUCCAACAAUAAAUUGAUUUAGUUAAACCAAUAGACGAGAUUAUUAAGGAAAGGGAGGAAUUACAUUCAGAUUAUAAUUUGAAAGAAUCAAAUAAAUCACAAAAUUGGUGCGAGAUAUCGAUUCAAAUCCAACAUUACAGUAAUCUUUCCCAAAUUCAAUAACAAAAAUCAAUAAACAUGUCAAAAUCACCCAAAGUAGUAAAAUAAUAGAGGUUGAUAGUCUUAAUUCGUAAAAGCAAAUAAUUGAUUAUUCCCUGAAUGAAGCUUCUAUUAUUGAGCCAAAUUAGUUCAUAUUAUGCAUAAACAUAAGUCUUUCCAGAGCCUUCCAAGAUUAUAUAUCUAGAUUUUCAUAAAAAUAACGAAGGGAUAAACGUGCUGAAAUUACUAGAUAAUUCAGAAGACAUUGAAGAAAAAUUCAAGAUGUAAGUACAUAUAGCUAAGCAAAACAAAUACAAACACAAAUCAGUAUAAUAACUGUACGAAAUAAAAUGAAACCAAUCCAAUCAUGCAAAGCUUGAAUGCUCACGAUAAUUGAAAUCAUGAACAAAGAGUUGGAAUGAAGCACAAAUUAAUUAGAAUGUACCAAUCCACACUUAGCAAACUUGAUGAACCUUAAAAGUUGUUAUCGGAGUUCACUAUUGUUUUGUUGUUUCCGCUGCCAAAAAGCAAAGAAAGGAGCGAAAUCACCUAGUUGUGCACCAUCUUUGUGCAGUUGUUGGUCGGUUUCUCGCGUGUCUACUGCUUAUUGUUACAGGUGUCGGAGCUGCUGGUUACCUGCAGUUGCUGCUGCCUGGAAGCUCGCCUGAGCGUUGCCAGCAAUGGAGAAAAGAAGGCAGGAAAGAAGGGAAGAGAGAAGAGAAAGAAGAGGCGAGGAGAGACAGAAAGAGAGCGGCUCUUGCUGGUUGCUGCAGCUUCUUGCUGGUGUCCUCGCUAGCUUCUAUUGGAGAAUAGAAGCGAAAAAGAAAAGGAAGGAGAAGAGAGGAGAAGGUUGUCAUGGAUGGCCGACUCAUUGCCUCGCCGGAGUUCGCUUGAUGCUCCUCGCCGGACUGCUGUGCGCUGCUGCUGGCGGACCGCUGCUGUCCAUGCCGGUCAAUGCUGUCCGCUGCUGCUUGUGGGCCGCUGCUGUCCAUGCCGGUCACUGCUGUCCGCUGCUGCUGGUGGUCGCUGCUCUCGCCGGAGCGAAUGGAGAAGAGAGAGUGGGUGGCUGGCGGCUGCAAGGAGAGGGGAGGGAGAAGAAUAAUUUUAGGUCUUGAUUUUUAGUGUAUUGAAAUCAAGAAGAAAAGGGAAUUUUAUCACAACCGUUGAUUUAAUAAGAAAUAAAGGGAUAUGAUUCGAUUAAUAAUAGAUGGAUGAGAUUAAGAGAUGAGAUGUAUUGAAAUCAGAUUGGAUUGAAUAUGCAAUGGCUACAAUUGCAAUUAAAAUUGCUAGAAUUGAAAUGAAAGACGGGUUAUGAUUGAGAUAAAAUUUAAUUGGAGUAGCUAGAAUUGAAAGAAAAUAUAAUAGAAUAGGCUAGAAUUUAAAUAGUUUUAAGGAAAGUGUAGGAAUUAUUAUCUAAUAAAUACUACAUAUAUUAAAGAAUUUUUUUAAUUGAAAAAUCAUUUAAAUUUUAAACUUUUGAAAUUCAUUAAUAAUAUUUACGAUAAUUUUAUAAAGUAAAACAUAUUAAAAUAUAUAAUUUCCAAGCAAAAUCGAUUAAAAAUUCUAAACUUUAAAUAAAUUUUAAAAUACUUAUUUAAUCGAAUAUUAUCCCAAAAAUGGUUAAAGGUCGGUCAAAAUUGGGUGUCAACAGCUGCCCCUUGGUUGAUUGAGAAUGAAGAAUGAAUUGUCAGGCAACCAACGUUGACUUAGUAGCCGAUUUUGUCCGACCGACGAGAGAUGUCAGUUGGAUCAAUUAAAACGAUAUGGAUUUUAAAAAGGGCACAACCGAGACUUUGGUUUUAAGUCGCCUACAUAUCUCUGGUUAUACGAGAAUCAGGUCGUGUGUAGUUCUAGAUUCAAGAGCAAAUGAAACUGUUAAAAGUUGAAAGAGCGGUAAGGUAUUCAGAAGGCACGAUAUCGACUUGAAUGGAUAAGAUUAGAGUAGCGAGAAGAGAGAGAUUGAGAGGCUAAAAGAGCAUGACAAAGAAACGAGAAGAGCAUGAUAGAGUGAGAUUAUCAGCUUUUGCAAGGUUUGGAGUAUGAGUAGUAAAGAAUUAAUAGUGUCUUCGUUGUGAUAGCAUGAUAAUUGUAAUCAACGGGCGAUCCAUCAUAUCUGCAAAUUCUAGAUAAAACGUUAGCUUAUAAAUAAUGUAAGACCAAUAAUGAUAAAAUAUGAGUUCUAAAUAGAUGAUAAAAGGUGAUAAGCGCCUAUUUGUUUUGAGACGUAGUGCAAGCCUUGAUAGUUUUUAACUUCUUGAAGGAUUGAAACUCAUCUCUGAAGAAUAACGUCAAACUCCAAAAUAUUUGAUAGUAUAAACAUAUAAUAAUAUAAGUAAAAUGUCUGGUUGUAAGGAGAGUCUAAACGUCAUUUUAAAGCGGACGAGCCUAAACAUCAUAUUUUAAGACGGAAAAGCCUAAACAUCUUAUUCUAAGGCGGAAGAGCCUAAAUAUCGUAUUGUAAGGCAGACGAGCCUAAACAUCGUAUUGUAAGGCAGAUGAGCCUAAAUAUCCUAUUGUAAGGCGGAAGAGCCUAAACGUCGUAUUGCAAGGCAGACGAGCUUAAACAUCGUAUUAUAAGGCAGAUGAGCCUAAAUAUCCUAUUGUAAGGCGGAAGAGCCUAAACGUCGUAUUGUAAGGCAGACGAGCCUAAAUGUCGUAUUGUAAGGCAGACGAGCCUAAACAUCCUAUUGUAAGGCGAAAGAGCCUAAAUAUCCUAUUAUAUGGCGGAAGAGCCUAAACGUCGUAUUGUAAGGCAGACGAGCCUAAAUGUCGUAUUGUAAGGCAGACGAGCCUAAAUGUCGUAUUGUAAGGCAGACGAGCCUAAACAUCCUAUUGUAAGGCGGAAGAGCCUAAACAUCCUAUUGUAAGGCGAAAGAGCCUAAAUAUCGCAUUUUAAGGCGGAAAAGCCUAAACAUCCUAUUGUAAGGCGGAAAAGCCUAAAUAUCGUAUUAUAAUAAGGCGGGAGAGCUUAAAUAUAUAUUCAGUCAGUCGUAGAAAAAAGUUGAUAAUAGCCUCUUCAAAAAAUAAUCCGAGGAUAGUAUGACUUACAUAGUAGCUCCUAAAUAUGACAAUACGCUCAUAUAUAAUUUAUUCCUGCAUCCAGAGAAAAUUCGUAAAUUCAAAAGGCGAGAGAUGGUCAUACCUGUGCUUGUUUUGCCUUUAGAGUUGCAUUCCCUUGCGAUGAAAUUUUUGAGGAUUUCUCAAAAAUUUCUGCCCCAGUUUAGAGUAUAAGAUAUAUACUCACUUUGUUAAAUAUGUCUAUGAAAAUUUUUGAGGUUUCCUCAAAAAUUCUGCCCCAGUUUAUUAGUGGGGGAAUUUUUGAUUCUGCUUCACUCAAAGAAAAAUUAUAAGUUCCAAAGAAAGUGAUUGUCUUGUAUUUGGACAUUAAGGCUCGACUUAGAAUUCAAGUGUCAAUUAUGUCCAUGGAUUGUCAAUUAGCCUAGAUUUGAAUUUGUAAAGGAGUGUUUUGAAUGACCAUGGGAGAGAAAGAAAAUUUAUUUGAUAGAACCGGACCCAUCAAGGGUUGCCUACGUAUCCAAAAAGGAAAUCAGGUCAAACGUAGUUCAGAAUUACAAGGAAAAAUGAAAGGAAUGAGGAAGGCUUUGGGCAUAAGGUCUGAGAACAAUAAAGCCAACUUUGUUCAUAAGAGUCUUGUCCAUAUCAUUUUCUCUGAUGUGAUUUACGCUUCCUUGUCAAGUUCCUAACGUACAUCUUUGUAGGAUCUCCCUGAACGAUGAAUGUAUUCGCCAUAGAAGGAUUGCAAUUGUUGUUUUGUGGUCCUUGUUGCACUAUAAUUUUUCUUUUUUCAAUCAUAUUCUGAAUCUUAUUUCUCAAUGCUGCACAUUCUUCAGUGUCAUGACCUUGAAUGUUUGAAUAACAGGCACAAUUUUUGGAUAGAUCAAAGUUUGAAGUAGAGUGUUUGGGAAUCCAUCCAUUUAUUGGUCUUAGAAGUCCCUUAGCCCAUAAUCUCUGGAAAAUGUCGGUCAAAGUUUCCUUUAAGGGAGUGAAGACACAAGGUUUCCUCACCUUAUGUUGAGAAACCUGAGGGUUGGAAGGCUCAAGAAUAGCAUGAAUUUGCUCAAUAUUCUGAUUUCUUUGUUUCGGAGGUAUAUAGGUUAAUGCAUCUUCGUUCCUUUCAUCUAAUGAUUCUUUCAGGACUUGAAAAGGAAUUUGUGUAUCAGCAAUUCUUCCAGACUGAAUGCCAUAUUCUAACUCUUUUCGAAUUCGAAUUAGACUGUCGAAACUUUGAAUACCAACGAAGAACAAGGUUUUGUAGUAUAUACCCUCAAGUGAUCUGAUGAGAGUUUGUACCAACUCCUCUUCAUGCGGUAAGUGACGUAUCUUGGAGGCUUCCAUUCUCCAUCGUAUGACAUAUUCCUCAAAAGAUUCAUGACUUAAUUUCUUCAAUUUGAGCAAAUUUAACAUUGUAGGAUCAACCUUCUUAUUAAACUUGUAUUGUUCCACAAAGUCUCGAGCCAUGUCUUCCCAUGCGAGCCAUUUGUCAAAGUCUUGUUUGAUGUACCAAGUGAAGGCUAUUCCUUAUAAGCUUUGAAUAAAUAACCUCAUUAGGAGAGGUUCAUUUUUUUCUAAGCCAACUAGCCUGCUGCAAAAAUCUUUGAGAUGUGCCAUUGGAUCCCCAUGUCCGUCGAACAUGUUGAAUUUUGGAAUUUUAAAUUCUGACGGCAAUUCGACUCCUGGGUGUAGACAUAAAUUUUUAUACCUUAGGUCAUGAGUAGGUAUUGAAUUUAAUCAUCCAUUCACCUUUUUCUCCAAGUCAUGCAUUUUUCGCUGCAAUGCAUCUAGCUUAGACUUCUCUAUUUUGUCACCUAUUCCCUCAUAUCCUACAGCAUCAAAGUUGAGGCGUGUUGGAGACCUUUGUUGAGAGAGGGUGUGAGUAGGAAUAGGAUGAGGAGAGAUGGUCCAAAAGAUACUUUGUUGUGGACGAGAAGAAGGGUGAUUUUUUCGAAGAUUGAACAUAUUUGUCAUAUUGAUGGUUCUUAGUUGAGCCUAAAAUCCAAAUACUAGACAACCAUUAGUCAAAGAAGUAAAUCAAACACAAAAUCGGGUUAAUAUAUAGUAAGCCAAAAUUAUAAUUUCAAAUGAAUAACAUAAUAGCUCAAAGUGGUACAAUUAUAACAGUUAAUAGAAUAAGGUCACAUAAUUGGUUCAAGUCAUAUUUGUCAAUUUAAAGUUUAGAAUCAAAGAAAAUUUAUAUAUACAUUCAAAUAAACAAAUAAAUCAUUCUUCAAUUAAUCUUCAACUUGAACUUCAAGUUUGAAACCUGUCAAAGUAAUCAAAUAACUACACAAGUAAUCACACUUAUUAGUCAAGGUGUGACAAUAUGCAAUCGUUUAAUAACGAAUUAUACAUACAUACAUACAUACACACACACACACACACACACACACACACACACACAUAUAUAUAUAUAUAUAAAAUAAUAGCUUACACAAAUGUGUGAAUGUAAAGAUAGUGUGAAUGUUAAGAACACUAACCAGUUAAGCAAAACAAAUUGAUUCAACUUUUACUUGAACAAAGUAGUAAGAUAGCGAAGAAGAACACUUGAAUAAUUAUUGGAUUCUCAAUGUAUUGUUAGAGUAGCAAGAGAGCAAUGAGAGAAGGGAGAGUAAUGAGAGAAUUUGUGAUUGAGAGUGAAUGAGCGUGUGAGUUGAUGAGAGAACUUGUUAUGAAAGAUGAGUGUCUGUGAAUGAAUUGAGUAUGAGGGAGUCCUAUUUAUAUAGCAAAAGGAGAGAAAAAUAUAAAAAAAAAUAAGGUAAAUAAAUAUUUUUUAGGAAUCAAGUAAG
rnacentral:lncRNA from 1 species